UACCCGCGGCUAGACGGAAAGACCCCGUGAACCUUUACUACAGCUUGGCACUGAACAUUGAACCUACAUGUGUAGGAUAGGUGGGAGGCUUUGAAGACGUGACGCUAGUUGUGUUGGAGCCGUCCUUGAAAUACCACCCUUGUAUGUUUGAUGUUCUAACUUAGCCCCGUUAUCCGGGGUGAGGACAGUGCCUGGUGGGUAGUUUGACUG
rnacentral:rRNA from 1 species